rnacentral:rRNA from 1 species
CCGAGCACGCGCGUGUGGCAUAUCAAUAAGCGGAGGAAAAGAAACUAACAAGGAUUCCCUUAGUAACGGCGAGUGAAGCGGGAAGAGCUCAAAUUUGAAAUCUUCAAGGUUCUACCUUGACGAAUUGUAGUUUAUAGAAGUGUUUUCUGUUAGUGGAGUGGCAAAAGUUCUUUGGAAUAGGACAUCAUAGAGGGUGAGAAUCCCGUAUUUGGUCAUUCCUCCUAGCGUUGUGAUACACUUUCAACGAGUCGGAUUGUUUGGGAAUGCAGUCCAAAAUGGGUGGUAAAUUUCAUCUAAAGCUAAAUAUUGGCGAGAGACCGAUAGCGAACAAGUACCGUGAGGGAGAGAUGAAAAGAACUUUGAAAAGAGAGUUAAACAGUACGUGAAAUUGUCAAAAGGGAAGCGUUUGACACCAGUGUUGUUUUUCCGAAAAUCAAUUACGAAUGUUUUGUUUUUGAGGAGUUAUAACUUCAUCGGCUUGCUCCUUUCUUUAUGAAACUUUCUUAAUGCACUUUUCGGUUAACAAGUCAACAUCAAUUUCUUUUGUUGUAAAAGGGUAUGAGGAAGGUGGCUUUCACUUCGGUGAAAGUGUUUAUAGCCUUUGGCUUCUACAAUCGGAGAGAUUGAGGUCUGCAGCGUAGAUCCUUCGGGGUUAGAUACGUAGAUGCUAAGUUAUAGUUUUUUAUAGACAACUUGUUGACUAUGAUUGAUCAUGUAGCUUACUCGUUUACGCUAUUUUACCUACGCUUAGGAUGUUGA